ACGGGAGGCAGCAGUGGGGAAUAUUGCACAAUGGGCGAAAGCCUGAUGCAGCGACGCCGCGUGAGUGAUGAAGUAUUUCGGUAUGUAAAGCUCUAUCAGCAGGGAAGAUAAUGACGGUACCUGACUAAGAAGCACCGGCUAAAUACGUGCCAGCAGCCGCGGUAAUACGUAUGGUGCAAGCGUUAUCCGGAUUUACUGGGUGUAAAGGGAGCGCAGGCGGUACGGCAAGUCUGAUGUGAAAGCCCGGGGCUCAACCCCGGUACUGCAUUGGAAACUGUCGAACUAGAGUGUCGGAGGGGUAAGUGGAAUUCCUAGUGUAGCGGUGAAAUGCGUAGAUAUUAGGAGGAACACCAGUGGCGGAGGCGGCUUACUGGACGGUAACUGACGUUGAGGCUCGAAAGCGUGGGGAGCAAACAGGAUUAGAUACCCUGGUA
rnacentral:rRNA from 1 species